UAACAAAUAUAUAAAUAAGAACAUCCAAUUGAAAACACACACACAAAUUUCUGUGUUUCUUCCUUUGUUUGUUUA
rnacentral:ribozyme from 14 species